rnacentral:rRNA from 1 species
AGAGUUUGAUCCUGGCUCAGGAUGAACGCUGGCGGCAUGCCUAAUACAUGCAAGUCGAACGAAGACUGUUGAAAGCUUGCUUUUGACAGACUUAGUGGCGAACGGGUGAGUAACACGUAGGGAACCUGCCCAUGUACCCGGGAUAACAGAUGGAAACGUCUGCUAAAACCGGAUAGGUAUAGACAAGGCAUCUUGGCUAUAUUAAAGGACCUUCGGGUGCGGACAUGGAUGGACCUGCGGCGUAUUAGCCAGUUGGCGGGGUAACGGCCCACCAAAGCGAUGAUACGUAGCCGGCCUGAGAGGGUAGACGGCCACAUUGGGACUGAGACACGGCCCAAACUCCUACGGGAGGCAGCAGUAGGGAAUUUUCGUCAAUGGGGGAAACCCUGAACGAGCAAUGCCGCGUGAGUGAAGAAGGCCUUCGGGUCGUAAAGCUCUGUUGUAAGAGAAAAACGGUAAUGAUAGGAAAUGACCAUUAAGUGAUGGUAUCUUACGAGGAAGCCACGGCUAACUACGUG